rfam:Fukomys damarensis contig139704, whole genome shotgun sequence.
UCCGGGCGUGGUGGCGCGCCCCUCUAAUCCCAGCUACUCGGGAGGCUGAGGUGGGAAGAUCGCUUCAGUCCAGGAGUUCUGGGCUGCAGUGCGCUAUGCUGAUCGGGUGUCCGCACUAAGUUUGGCAUCCGUAUGGUGACCUCCCGGGAGCGGGGGACCACCAGGUUGCCUAAGGAGGGGUGAACUGGCCCAGGUCGGAAACGGAGCAAGUCAAAAUUCAGCUGAAGUUGAGCUGCAGUACCACCUCUGUCAAACGUUUGCUGUCUUAUCCUGCAUGUGGAGUGGAGGAUGGCAUCUUUA